ACUCCUACGGGAGGCAGCAGUAGGGAAUCUUCGGCAAUGGACGAAAGUCUGACCGAGCAACGCCGCGUGAGUGAAGAAGGUUUUCGGAUCGUAGAACUCUGUUGGUAGAGAAGAACGUUGGUGAGAGUGGAAAGCUCAUCAAGUGACGGUAACUACCCAGAAAGGGACGGCUAACUACGUGCCAGCAGCCGCGGUAAUACA
rnacentral:rRNA from 1 species